rnacentral:rRNA from 1 species
UUAAGCUACAAAGGGCAUACGGUGGAUGCCUAGGCAUUGAGAGUCGAUGAAGGACGCGGUAAGCUGCGAAAAGGUAUGGGGAGCCGCAAGCAGGCAAUGAUCCAUACAUCUCCGAAUGGGGCAACCCGGUACGAGUCAUGUCGUACCAUCCUACGGGAGGAUAACCCGGUGAACUGAAACAUCUAAGUAGCCGGAGGAAGAGUAAUCAAACGAGAUUCCCAUAGUAGCGGCGAGCGAACAGGGAAGAGCCCAAACCCGUUGUCUUCGGACGACGGGGGUUGAGGACCAGCAUAAAUCAAAGAAGUGUUAGAAGAAGGGCAUGGGAAGGCCUGGCGCAGAGGGUGAGACCCCCGUAUUUAAAAACAUUUUGAGAGGGCUGGUAUCCAGAGUACCACGAGACACGUGAAACCUUGUGGGAAGCAGGGUGGACCACCAUCCAAGGCAAAAUACUACUCAAUGACCGAUAGCGCAUAGUACCGUGAGGGAAAGGUGAAAAGUACCCCUGGAGGGGAGUGAAAUAGAACCUGAAACCGUAUGUCUACAAGCAGUCGAAGCACUUUAUAUGUGCGACGGCGUGCCUAUUGAAGAAUGAACCGGCGAGUUAUCCGUUGUGGCGAGGUUAAGUGGAAGACACGGAGCCGAAGCGAAAGCGAGUCUUAAUAGGGCGGCAAGUCACAGCGGGUAGACCCGAAACCACAGUGAUCUAUGCAUGGCCAGGUUGAAGCUCAGGUAAAAAUGAGUGGAGGACCGAACCCGUGAGUGUUGAAAAACUUUGGGAUGAGCUGUGCAUAGGGGUGAAAUGCCAAUCGAACGUGGAGAUAGCUGGUUCUCCCCGAAAUAGCUUUAGGGCUAGCCUCAGGGAAUGCACAUAGACGGUAGAGCUCUGAUCGGGCUAGGGGGCGUAAAGCCUACCGACCCCAGUCAAACUGCGAAUGGCUAUGUGAGAAGAACCUGGGAGUCAGACUGCGAGUGAUAAGACCCGUAGUCAAGAGGGAAACAGCCCAGACCGCCGACUAAGGUCCCGAAUGCUGUACUAAGUGGAAAAGGAUGUAGGACUUCAGAAACAACCAGGAUGUUGGCUCAGAAGCAGCCACCAUUUAAAGAGUGCGUAAUAGCUCACUGGUCGAGAGGCCCUGCGCCGAAAAUAUCCGGGGCUCAAGUACAGAACCGAAGUCGCGGCAUGCGCAAGCAUGGGUAGGGGAGCGUUGAAACAGCGGAGAAGGCGUACCGUAAGGAGCGCUGGAGCGGUUUCAAGAGAGAAUGCCGGUAUGAGUAGCGAAAAGGACGGUGAGAAUCCGUCCCACCGAAAGCCUAAGGUUUCCUGAGCAACGCUCGUCGACUCAGGGUAAGUCGGGACCUAAGCCGAGGCAGCAAGCAUAGGCGAUGGACAACAGGCUAAUAUUCCUGUACCCGCAAGUUUUGUUUGAGCAAUGGAGUGACGCAGGAGAAAGUGGGAGCUGGCUGCUGGAUUAGCCAGUCGAAGGCUGCAGGCUGCGGAGGAGGCAAAUCCCUUCCGUAACGGCUCAGAGCUGAUAGAUAGAUGACCUUCGGGGAGUCAAAUUUCCAUGAAUCACACUGCCGAGAAAAGCUUCUAGUGAGAAACUUGUGGCCCGUACCAAAACCGACACAGGUAGGCGGGGAGAGUAUCCUAAGGUGCGCGGGAAAACCCUCGUUAAGGAACUCGGCAAAAUGCAUCCGUAACUUCGGGAUAAGGAUGACCGGAGCUGGUGAACUCCCUGCGGAGGAAGCUGGAGCCGGUGGCAGAAGAGAGGCCCAAGCGACUGUUUACCAUAAACACAGGUGCCUGCUAAAGAGAAAUCUGACGUAUAGGUGCUGACACCUGCCCGGUGCUGGAAGGUUAAGAGGAGGGGUCAGGCGCAAGCUGAAGCUCUGAAUUGAAGCCCCAGUAAACGGCGGCCGUAACUAUAACGGUCCUAAGGUAGCGAAAUUCCUUGUCGGGUAAGUUCCGACCCGCACGAAAGGUGUAACGAUUUGGGCACUGUCUCAACGAGGGACCCGGUGAAAUUGAAAUACCUGUGAAGAUGCAGGUUACCCGCGACUGGACAGAAAGACCCCAUGGAGCUUUACUGCAGCUUGGCAUUGAUCUUUGGCAUGUAAUGUACAGGAUAGGUGGGAGACUUGGAAGCAGGGACGCAAGUCACUGUGGAGUCGUUGUUGGGAUACCACCCUUUGCAUGCUAGGGAUCUAACCCUGGGACUAACAAAACCGGGGACAGUGCCAGGCGGGCAGUUUGACUGGGGCGGUCGCCUCCGAAAGAGUAACGGAGGCGUCCAAAGGUUCCCUCAGCGCGGACAGAAAUCGCGCGAAGAGUAUAAAGGCAGAAGGGAGCUUGACUGCGAGACUGACGGGUCGAGCAGGUACGAAAGUAGGGCUUAGUGAUCCGGUGGAAUGAAAGUGGAAUUGCCAUCGCUCAACGGAUAAAAGCUACCCUGGGGAUAACAGGCUAAUCUCUCCCAAGAGUCCAUAUCGACGGGGAGGUUUGGCACCUCGAUGUCGGCUCAUCACAUCCUGGGGCUGAAGCAGGUCCCAAGGGUUGGGCUGUUCGCCCAUUAAAGUGGUACGUGAGCUGGGUUCAGAACGUCGUGAGACAGUUCGGUCCAUAUCCAUCGCGGGCGUAAGAGAUUUGAAGGGAGCUGCUCCUAGUACGAGAGGACCGGAGUGGACGGACCAACGGUGUACCAGUUAUUGCGCCAGCAGUACAGCUGGGUAGCUGCGUCCGGAAGGGAUAAACGCUGAAAGCAUCUAAGCGUGAAGCCUGCCUUGAGAUGAGAUCUCUCACAGCGUAAGCUGGUAAGACUCCUUGAAGACGACAAGGUUGAUAGGCUGGAAGUGGAAGAGUGGCAACAUUCGAAGCGGACCAGUACUAAUAAGUCGAGGGCUUAAUUAC